rnacentral:rRNA from 1 species
AUUGAACGCUGGCGGCAGGCCUAACACAUGCAAGUCGAACGGUAACAGGAAGCAGCUUGCUGCUUUGCUGACGAGUGGCGGACGGGUGAGUAAUGUCUGGGAAACUGCCUGAUGGAGGGGGAUAACUACUGGAAACGGUAGCUAAUACCGCAUAACGUCGCAAGACCAAAGAGGGGGACCUUAGGGCCUCUUGCCAUCGGAUGUGCCCAGAUGGGAUUAGCUAGUAGGUGGGGUAACGGCUCACCUAGGCGACGAUCCCUAGCUGGUCUGAGAGGAUGACCGGCCACACUGGAACUGAGACACGGUCCAGACUCCUACGGGAGGCAGCAGUGGGGAAUAUUGCACAAUGGGCGCAAGCCUGAUGCAGCCAUGCCGCGUGUAUGAAGAAGGCCUUCGGGUUGUAAAGUACUUUCAGCGGGGAGGAAGGGAGUAGAGUUAAUACCUUUGCUCAUUGACGUUACCCGCAGAAGAAGCACCGGCUAACUCCGUG